ensembl:lncRNA
CUUCUCAGCAAUUUCAGUAUUUUCGUUCAUAAGAUGCAGCUUUAUGUUAAAAUAUUAAAAACUCUGUUUCUUUACCUUGUGCGAUCAGGAAGAUAUGACGCAGAACAUCAAAAAGAAGCUGUGGGAUUCAGUGCAGGACGAUCAUAAAACUGCAGCAAUAAAAUACAGUAUUUUAUUUACCUUAUGUUUGCCAUAAUGCUGCUAAUUAUUUCCCUCUUUGGCUUUAAAUUAACCUACAAUCAAUGGCGCAAAGACAAUAUAAACACCUUACACCUCAUCUGAUGCCAGAAAAAGAAAAAGAAAGUGGAAGUUAAAAAAGGAACUUUCCCCUCAAGGUGUUUACCCCGCGCUCUAAGUCCUCUCCCACCCAAAAUAAAAUCAGCAGCUGCUCUGUAUUCAGCAUUCAUUGUCCUUUUUGCAACGAGUCGAGAAACAUGGAGGUUGGCAACCAUCUCCGCGUUCAGUCGUUCACGGGUGAGACGAAGCUCAUCUCCGGGUGGCAGAUGAUGACUGUCCAGCAGCUCAAGAUGGAAAUAAUGAAUGCGUUCCUGAUGACCAGCUACUGGUGCGUGGUGGGGGUCCACUGCAGGGACGCUUUGCGGCUCGUGUUCGAGGGGAAGCCGCUGGAGGAGGACUCUGCGCCGCUAGUCGAGUGUGGAAUCAAGAAUCUGGCUACUGUCCAGGUGGUGAAGAAGGUCACAGGAGGUUAACAGGGGGACAUCAUCAUCUUCAUCAUCCUCAUCAUCUUCAUCUUCAUCAUCAUCUCUUCUGUUUCUCCGUCUCAUCUACCUUCACCUUCAGAACAGAUGAACAACAUAGUUUUAUUGUCAUAUUCACAUGUUAAAUCCGUUUAAAUCCGACAGAGCAUUGUACACUUAAAAAAAAAAAAAAAACAUCUGCCACAAUAUUAUCUUUAUGAAUUUAACCCCAAAAUAAUGACAAAUAUGCAAUUUGCAUCUUUGCUCUACACAAAGUAGGAAGCACAACAAGAGCAGUAAUGAUGUAAAUAUUUAUUCUGUAUUUUCCUCAACUCAUUGUUGUUUUUCUUUCUUUCUUUCUUUUUACUUUUGUGUCAUGAGAUCAAAUAAAUUUCUCAGCAAAACAAAC